UCCCUGGUGGUCUAGUGGUUAGGAUUUAGUGCUUUCACUGCUAUGGCCCAGGUUCAAUCUCUGGUCUGGGAG
rfam:Sus scrofa chromosome 8.